GCCGGCAUAACGCACGCCUACGGCGGGUCUCCCGGACGAGGAGGGCGGAGGGCGGAGACACCGAGACUGUGCAGUUGGUUACGGCCGCUUUCGGUUUGAGAGUUCUCUCCCCCGCCGCCUUCCCUCCGCCUCGCGCCAAUUAGCGGAUGUGUCUAAGCUAGCACGCUUAACCGGUGAUGUUUUUAGCUUUUAAUGAACUUAACCUGACAUGUUUCUCCGGCCUCUGAGCGAGAAGCUGUUCGGACCCCCCCCCUCCUCGCGCCGGACUCUCUAACUGACGGAGGCUAAAAUAGGAUGUGGUCGGCUGGGUCGUGGAGGAAUUUGGCCGGCUGGUCGUGUCUUUUCCUGGCUGUCGUGUCCGCGCAGUCCGAGAUUACACUGUACAAGAAGGAGGGCGAUGAAGUUGUCCUCAAUCCUGGCUCCGGGUCUGUGACCGGCCCCAUCACCAGCAUCGUGUGGAGAGAUGGUCCCAACAUUGCCAUCCAGUGGGAGGAACCUGACACGGAUAUUACUUACUAUCGUCAUUUCGAAGAUCGUGGUAGCCUGAACAUUUCAAGUGGAGAGAUGACAAUCAAAGGUCUGACGCGAGACGACAGUGCAGUGUACACGGCCGAAAUCAACAACAUCAAGGCCACUCCAACUCGUCUCACAGUCAUCUUUCCCGUCCCUGUGCCCAUUGUCACUAAAUCGUGUGAUGAUGAGCGGACCAGCUGUAUUUUGACCUGCGAAGGAAACACCACAGGUGUCGAGCUAGUCACCUACAAAUGGAGGUCAGAUGACGAAGAGUUGACAACUUCAUCUAAGGAGCACCGUGUCGAAAAGGAAAACAGUUCAAGCACAAAGGAGUUCAGCUGCGAGCUGGACAAUCCAGUCAGUCGGGAGAGCAGCAAACCCAUCCCCAACCCUUUCACCACCGCCAACACUCCUACCACCUCCACUACUCAACCUGAGGGGAAUCCGAAAAUCAGCACGGGGCUCACAGUCUUCAUCUGUCUGCUGACAGCUGUGGUAGUGCUGGGUCUUUUACACAGAUGGAAAGCAGGAAUGUGGUUCUUCCAAAAAGCGUCCAUGCCUUGGGAAGCAGACUUCUGGCGGAAGCCUAGGAGGCAACCAAGAGACGCUGCUGAGUCUAAUGGCACCACUGCGCGUCAAGAGAUGGGACAAGGAGACGAGGAAACGGCAAUGACAUAGAUGGCCCGAGGACGCCGAGUCCAGGACCCCGUUAGGCGUAAAAACGACGAUCCACAAGAUCCAGGGUGAAGCAGAAAUGUUGUAGGAAAUCCAGAAGUGCACAUGAAAUGUUACUGGAACAGUACAACGGCACUAAAGAGAGGCAGAGAAACGUUUAGACAAUACCAGGAAGCCGAGUUAAGUGCGCUUUUCCUGUGACGGACGGCAUACCUGACACCAACCGGUGUGUCGAGCUCAUUGAGUCAGCGGCCAAAGAGGAUUUGAGGCGGGUCCGGUCCGGUUCCAUGCAGCUUCUCAGCGGUAGAGUACAGUUUGGACUUGGUGGGGAGGAACUGGACUGACAAUAGAGGGGGAAAGUGGCACCAUUGUCUGGUUUGGGCUCGACCAACAAUCCGGGCUUUGUACAGUACUUUAGCACUGACUCCUCUGCAACAGCUUUGUGCUAAGUAUGCAAACUUGCUAAAAUGUUACAUUUUAAGCUCAAAGUCAAUCCAUUAUUUUUCCUUUUCUUAUUUUGAGGUUUUUUUUAUGUCUCUGAAUGUUUUUAUCUUCACUUCUGCGAACACUGACUUUAUUUACCUCUUCUUAUCGUUGAUUAAAUGUUUCCUCUGUAUUCAUCUUUUAAUUCUGAAGGACGAAUUUCAAAAUGUUUGGUUUUGCGGCUUUCCAAUGCACCGUGUGUGAAUGAAAUAGAUGGAUGACGGGUUUGUUUUGCACUUACUUUUCUUCCAUCUAAUCUAAGAGUGCAGCUUUAAAUGAUCAAAUCCAUCUGUGUUUUUAUAUAAAAACUAAUGAGUUUGAGAUUAUUUCCAAAAUUUGUGAAACUCCUUUUAACCAACGAAGCAGCACUCAUUAAUUGAAAGCGUCCGUCAAGAAUGAGCUGUGGCACUGACAUUUUUAAAAGUUUAGAAAAUUCAAAACACCCCACAUUUUUUUUUAGACACUGAGAUCACUUCAUAUUCAAACCCUGUUAACUGAUUAUUUGUUGUGGUUUGUUGCAGUGUGAGGAUAUAAAGGAUAUGUAAAUGUGUAGGAGUUUUAUAAGGGCAAUAUUUAAUAAAACCAACAAUAUCAAA